AAUCAAAGUGACCAUCUAGCAAUGGUACCCGACGGUCGGAUAGGUCAAAUGUGUAGAACAACAUUCUUAGAACCCAUGCAGACAUAGUUUCCAUAUAAUUCAUCCCCUUGAUCAAAAUGCUCAUAGGACAUCUCAUAGUUCAAUUAUCAACUCUGAUCAGGUUGUCCACAUUGUAUUUCAAAAUAUCAAAUCCAUCUGAUGGAUUAUCCUGGCCA
rnacentral:lncRNA from 1 species